UUUGCUGUUUCCAUGGCCAUGGGAGCCAUUUUUUUAAUUCCAAAGUCAGGUGCAAAACUACACAUGGUGAUUAACAUUAUGUUAUAGUUCCAUCAACAUUGGUCCAUUCAGUUCCGAGAACUAAGCUGGACAAAAAGUGCGGAAUAAGAAUAAGAAAAAAAGAAUCGUACAAUAACAAUAUGUCACCCGACCUCCGUCAGGGUGACAUAAUAAGAAAAAAAGAAACGUAGAAUAACAAUAUGUCACCCCAACUCCGUUGAGGGUGCCAUAACUAGAUUUGUAAUUGCUAGCAAUAACGGAUGGCACCCUUCCCCCAAUGCCAGGGUAACGGCAGCCAUUUUGAAAAUUUCAAA
rnacentral:lncRNA from 1 species